UACAGAGGUCCCAAGCGUUGUUCGGAUUCAUUGGGCGUAAAGGGUGCGUAGGCGGCGCGGUAAGUCGGGUGUGAAAUCUCGGAGCUUAACUCCGAAACUGCAUUCGAUACUGCCGUGCUUGAGGACUGGAGAGGAGACUGGAAUUUACGGUGUAGCGGUGAAAUGCGUAGAUAUCAGGAGGAACACCGGUGGCGAAGGCGGCCCCCUGGGCCGAACCUGACGCUGAGGCGCGAAAGCGUGGGGAGCAAACAGG
rnacentral:rRNA from 1 species